rnacentral:sRNA from 1 species
UAAGAUGUGAGUGAGAGAGAGAACUAUA